rnacentral:pre_miRNA from 2 species
AGAGAAGUUCUCCUGGCCUAAGAAAUCAAGCGUGGGUGAGACCUGGUGCAGAACAGGAAGGCGACCCAUACUUGGUUUCAGAGGCUGUGAGAAUA